GCGGUAGCACUCACCCAUGCGGUCCACCUU
rnacentral:sRNA from 1 species